AAUUCAACCCAUUCUCACUCCAAAGGCGUCAAAAACCGAAGCAUGGUCAAGCGCCCCUAGCGUCACUUUUAUGACGCCAAAUGUGCCUCUCGGCGUCGACUAUCGAAGCACUACGACCUUCAUUGCUUUCAGUGGGAAACUUUUGGCGUCAGAAUUCGACACGAGGACAUGAGAUGUUUAUCGCUAUGAAAUCACGUUCAAGAAGUCUCAUUCAGCACACAUCGCGCGAUACUUGCUAUCAGUUCCACAGUUUGGCUGAAAAGACGUAAAGGCAGUCAGCCCAGUGGUGUUUCUGGAGAGGGAUUCCUUCAGAAAUGGAGAAGACAGAAAGCUGCGGAGGCAGAUAUUUGCAGCAUGUUCGAGUGAGCAUGAUGACCACGAGUGUGUGUCGAACUUUUCAUGACCUGAUGACUGUGUUUCCCAAUCCUGAUCCUGGAGAACCCCAGCACUGCACGGUUUUGGUGUCUCUCUUAUCUGCCUUGGAGUCUUCACUGAUGAGCUGAUGAGUUGAAUCAGGUGUGUUUGAUCAGGGAGACAUCUCAAAUGUGCAGUGUUGGGCUUCUCCAGGACCAGGAUUGGGAGCCACUGCCUUAUGGGACACUUAUGUGUUUAAAGAGAUUUUUAAUAUCUAAUUAUCAAUAUUUCACAUACUGUACUAAACACAUCACAGUCUUAAUAAUCCAGUUUAACACUUGUAUGAUAUUGUACAAGCCCCAGGACGGUCUCAUCUGACACUAUCAAAAGAAUUCAUAUGACUAUAGCUUGUUAUUAAUUACUUGCUUUCAAUAAUGG